AUAACUAUUUACUAAAUGACUGGGUGAAUUUCUAUCCCCACAGAUGGGCCCAUGAGGAGCUGUCCCGCAAACAGGAGACCCUCAGAAGUGGAAGUGCCUUGCAAGUCCUUAAAGGGCAGAGAGCUUAACAAACAUUUAACUUAAUGAGUGAGGAUCUCCAUUGCAAUCCUGAUCAGUGGCGGAUGUGGCAGGCGCUCUGGUCUUAAAACCAACGUGACUGGCAGUUCUAAUAUUUCACCAAAGAUGAUGAAUUAGAUAAGUCUUAUCAGGUCAGGGAAGUUUCUUUUUAUUCCUAUUUGUUAAGAGUUGGGGUUUUUUUCCAGUCAUAAAUAGGUAUUUAAUGUUAUUAAGCCCAUUCAGUAAAUUUUUUAUUUCAGUUAUUGUACAUUGUACAUUUAUUUGAUAAUAACGGCUAUUGACAAUAUUUCAUAAAAUUAUUUCCCUGUACGUGUAAUGUUUUAGAUCAUGACAUUUUAAAGUUUUUAACAUUUGAUAAACAUUUGUCAAAGCAUUUACAUUUUAGUUUGUCAUCAUUUGGUUGAUGUGGUCCUCAGUUUCCAAGACUCAUUCUGGCGGAAGCCAACUGCCGUGUCACGAGGACACGCAAGCAGCUCUCUGCAGAGGCCCAUGUGAAGAGGAACUGAGGCCUCUUGCCAACCAUGUGAAUGAGUGUUACAGGCUGAAUUGUGUCUCCCCCCC